AUACUGCUGAGCUAGGGACCGGGAGAGGCCGAGGGUAUUCCCGGGGUAGGGGUGAAAUCCUGUAAUCCCGGGAGGACCACCUGUGGCGAAGGCGCUCGGCUGGAACGGGUCCGACGGUGAGGGACGAAGGCCUGGGGAGCGAACCGGAUUAGAUACCCGGGUAGUCCAGGCUGUAAACGAUGCGGGCUAGGUGUCACCGGAGCUACGAGCUCCGGUGGUGCCGGAGGGAAGCCGUUAAGCCCGCCGCCUGGGAAGUACGGCCGCAAGGCUGAAACUUAAAGGAAUUGGCGGGGGAGCACUACAACGGGUGGAGCCUGCGGUUUAAUUGGAUUCAACGCCGGGAAGCUUACCGGGGGAGACAGCGGGAUGAAGGUCGGGCUGAAGACCUUACCAGACUAGCUGAGAGGUGGUGCAUGGCCGCCGUCAGUUCGUACUGUGAAGCAUCCUGUUAAGUCAGGCAACGAGCGAGACCCGCGCCCUCAGUUGCCAGCGGGUCCCUUCGGGGACGCCGGGCACACUGAGGGGACUGCCGGCGCUAAGCCGGAGGAAGGUGCGGGCAACGGCAGGUCCGUAUGCCCCGAAUCCCCCGGGCUACACGCGGGCUACAAUGGCCGGGACAAUGGGUACCGACCCCGAAAGGGGUGGGUAAUCUCCUAAACCCGGUCUAACCUGGGAUCGAGGGCUGCAACUCGCCCUCGUGAACCUGGAAUCCGUAGUAAUCGCGUCAC
rnacentral:rRNA from 1 species